UUUCUAGUGGCGGACGGGUGAGUAACACGUUGGAACCUGCCCCAAAGUGAGGAAUAAGCCACCGAAAGGUGGUCUAAUACUUCAUAAUAUCCAUCUCGUAUGGAUUAAAGCUUUAUGCGCUUUGGGAGGGGCCUGCGUAACAUUAGCUUGUUGGUGAGGUAAAAGCUCACCAAGGCUUCGAUGUUUAACUGGUUUGAGAGGAUGACCAGUCACACUGGGACUGAGAUACGGCCCAGACUCCUACGGGAGGCAGCAGUAAGGAAUCUUCCACAAUGGGGCAACCCUGAUGGAGCAAUACCGCGUGCAGGAUGAAGCGUUUCGGCGUGUAAACUGCUUUUAUCACCGAAGAUUAUGACUGUAGGUGAAGAAUAAGGACCGGCUAACUACGUG
rnacentral:rRNA from 1 species